rnacentral:rRNA from 1 species
AUUGAACGCUGGCGGCAGGCCUAACACAUGCAAGUCGAGCGGUAGAGAGGUGCUUGCAUCUCUUGAGAGCGGCGGACGGGUGAGUAAUGCCUAGGAAUCUGCCUAGUGGUGGGGGAUAACGUUCGGAAACGGACGCUAAUACCGCAUACGUCCUACGGGAGAAAGCGGGGGGAUCUUCGGACCUCGCGCCAUUAGAUGAGCCUAGGUCGGAUUAGCUAGUUGGUGAGGUAAUGGCUCACCAAGGCGACGAUCCGUAACUGGUCUGAGAGGAUGAUCAGUCACACUGGAACUGAGACACGGUCCAGACUCCUACGGGAGGCAGCAGUGGGAAUAUUGGACAAUGGGCGCAAGCCUGAUCCAGCAAUGCCGCGUGCAGGAUGAAGGCCUUCGGGUU